CUACAACCCUCGGCUUUUUGUUAUUGACAAUAUUUUUCUUCUUCCAACACUGCUAUCCAGGUUUGAUCUUAUCUACUUAAUUCUGGACAAGCCUGAUGAACAAAUUGAAGCCUGUCUAAACAUAUUGUUGCACUUCACUUCAAAAAUCCAGAGAGCAUAGUACAUGAUGUUUUGGACCUUCCCACCUUAACUGCAUACAUUAUAUAUGCAAGAAAGCAUAUUCAUCCUCAUCUAUCUGAAG